GAUGAACGCUGGCGGCGUGCCUAAUACAUGCAAGUCGAGCGAACGGACGAGAAGCUUGCUUCUCUGAUGUUAGCGGCGGACGGGUGAGUAACACGUGGAUAACCUACCUAUAAGACUGGGAUAACUUCGGGAAACCGUAGCUAAUACCGGAUAAUAUGUUGAACCGCAUGGUUCAAAAGUGAAAGACGGUCUUGCUGUCACUUAUAGAUGGAUCCGCGCUGCAUUAGCUAGUUGGUAAGGUAACGGCUUACCAAGGCAACGAUGCAUAGCCGACCUGAGAGGGUGAUCGGCCACACUGGAACUGAGACACGGUCCAGACUCCUACGGGAGGCAGCAGUAGGGAAUCUUCCGCAAUGGGCGAAAGCCUGACGGAGCAACGCCGCGUGAGUGAUGAAGGUCUUCGGAUCGUAAAACUCUGUUAUUAGGGAAGAACAUAUGUGUAAGUAACUGUGCACAUCUUGACGGUACCUAAUCAGAAAGCCACGGCUAACUACGUG
rnacentral:rRNA from 1 species